ensembl:lncRNA novel transcript
GAAGGCAGCUGUACGGCUUUCAUGAGUUGUUUCAACAGAGGGAGAAGAAGCCAGGAGAGCCAAUUUCUGACGGCAAGUGUUGAAGAAGGUUCAUAUGCUUGCUACCUUCCAAACAGCUCUUCAGGCAGAAGCAGGUACACAGACAGUGCUGGCGGAAAAACCUGAGAAGCAGCUAUCAGUAUUAGACCACAUACGAAAGCCUCUUCGGGACAUUUGCAAGCAUCCAGAGCAGAGAUGUUAAAAAUUCUUAUUAUCCACGAAAGUAUGAUGCAAAAUUCACAGACUUCAGCUUACCUCCCAGUAGAAAACAGAAAA